AUUGAACGCUGGCGGCAGGCUUAACACAUGCAAGUCGAGCGGGGACUUCGGUCCUAGCGGCGAACGGGUGAGGAAUGCUUGGGAAUCUGCCCAGUAGCGGGGGAUAACGUUUCGAAAGGAACGCUAAUACCGCAUACGCCCUACGGGGGAAAGGGGGGGAUCUUCGGACCUCUCACUAUUGGAUGAGCCCAAGUCGGAUUAGCUAGUUGGUGGGGUAAAGGCCUACCAAGGCGACGAUCCGUAGCUGGUCUGAGAGGAUGAUCAGCCACACUGGAACUGAGACACGGUCCAGACUCCUACGGGAGGCAGCAGUGGGGAAUAUUGGACAAUGGGCGAAAGCCUGAUCCAGCCAUGCCGCGUGUGUGAAGAAGGCCUUCGGGUUGUAAAGCACUUUAAGCGAGGAGGAAUGGCUCUGGGUUAAUACCCUUGAGCAGUGACGUUACUCGCAGAAUAAGCACCGGCUAACUCUGUGCCAGCCGCCGCGGUAAUAC
rnacentral:rRNA from 1 species